GACGAACGCUGGCGGCGUGCCUAAUACAUGCAAGUCGAGCGGACUUUCAAGAAGCUUGCUUUUGAAAGUUAGCGGCGGACGGGUGAGUAACACGUGGGCAACCUGCCUGUAAGACGGGGAUAACUCCGGGAAACCGGGGCUAAUACCGGAUAAUAUCUUUCUUCGCACGAAGGAAGGUUGAAAGGCGGCGCAAGCUGCCGCUUGCAGAUGGGCCCGCGGCGCAUUAGCUAUUUGGUGAGGUAACGGCUCACCAAGGCGACGAUGCGUAGCCGACCUGAGAGGGUGAUCGGCCACACUGGGACUGAGACACGGCCCAGACUCCUACGGGAGGCAGCAGUAGGGAAUCUUCCGCAAUGGACGAAAGUCUGACGGAGCAACGCCGCGUGAGCGAAGAAGGUCUUCGGAUCGUAAAGCUCUGUUGUCAGGGAAGAACAAGUACCGUUCGAAUAGGGCGGUACCUUGACGGUACCUGACCAGAAAGCCACGGCUAACUACGUGCCAGCCGCCGCCGUAA
rnacentral:rRNA from 1 species